GUGGGGAAUAUUGGGCAAUGGGCGAAAGCCUGAUCCAGCAAUGCCGCGUGCAGGAAGAAGGCCUUCGGGUUGUAAACUGCUUUUGUACGGAACGAAAAGGCUCUGGUUAAUACCUGGGGCUCAUGACGGUACCGUAAGAAUAAGCACCGGCUAACUACGUGCCAGCAGCCGCGGUAAUACGUAGGGUGCAAGCGUUAAUCGGAAUUACUGGGCGUAAAGCGUGCGCAGGCGGUUUUGUAAGACAGGCGUGAAAUCCCCGGGCUCAACCUGGGAAGUGCGCGUGUGACUGCAGUGCUGGAGUACGGCAGAGGGGGAUGGAAUUCCGCGUGUAGCAGUGAAAUGCGUAGAUAUGCGGAGGAACACCGAUGGCGAAGGCAGUCCCCUGGGCCUGUACUGACGCUCAUGCACGAAAGCGUGGGGAGCAAACAGGAUUAGAUACCCCAGUAGCCC
rnacentral:rRNA from 1 species